GUUUUCUGCCGUCAAACACAAAAGGAGGUCAAUUGCGAACCCUGCAGCUGUGUAGAUUAACAGACAUUAUGAUGAGAAGCUCUGGAGAAUAUGAGAUCAGCCCACGGUCAUGCUGAGCUUUCAGAUGGCCUUGUGCUGUUUAAAAACAAAGACACUGAGUUAAACCCUCGCGCUCUUAUUUCAGGCUUUGUUUGUCCUUGAAGGUUCACCAUUAAGAAGAGUUGAGGCUGCGUUUGAUGUGUAUGAUAAACAAGCUCAUCGCUCUUAUUGUUGUUCUUAACAAUGCAUUUCUAAAAAAAAGUUUUAAAAAGUCACAUGAUCAUUUCUUUAAAAAAAAAAAAAAAAAUAAAUUAAUUAAUUAAAUCCUGUGAUUGCUGCAGAUACAGAGCGAGCUGUGAAUUUCCGUCAUGAAUAUUUAUGAAGACGUGUGACCCGGGGCAGGAUGUAGACCGAGUGCUAUCCCAGCAUGCCCUGCUGUGAGGGAAGUUGAUCAGAUCAUCAUGUGUCCUCGUGUGAACGACAGAAAAGAGAGCUGUAAAAUGGUGCCUGGUCCACGUCACCGCUUCCAAGAACUGGGGAAGACAAUGGAAGACACCCUGAAAGAGACACGGAGACAUGAAACAUCCGUGUCUGGCGGGAAAGAGGUGGAUGAGCUGCAGAGAUGCGGACAAGGACACAGACGCAGAAGCGGAUGUGAUGUCCAGGACAGAGGAACAUAGCUUUUGUCAAGUGUCUGUUUUGAUGUUUUCAUGCUGAGAUGACCACGACAUUUGUAUACAAAUGUAGAGAAAUUAAUUAAUUACUUCACGUUUUAUACCUGUGCCAGUUCAUUCACACAGUACAAAGCUUCUUCACUUUACAUAUUUGGCACAUUACAGCAAGUCUCUUCU